rnacentral:rRNA from 1 species
UGGCGGACGGGUGAGUAAUGUCUGGGAAACUGCCCGAUGAGGGGGAGUAACUACUGGGAACGGUAGCUAAUACCGCAUAACGUCGCAAGACCAAAGAGGGGGACCUUCGGGCCUCUUGCCAUCGGAUGUGCCCAGAUGGGAUUAGCUAGUAGGUGGGGUAAAGGCUCACCUAGGCGACGAUCCCUAGCUGGUCUGAGAGGAUGACCAGCCACACUGGAACUGAGACACGGUCCAG